rnacentral:lncRNA from 1 species
GAAAGCAAUUCAUCACUGAAGAUGACAGAGUAACAAACGAACAAGGCAUCCAACAAGAGUUAGAACCGUUGAUCUAUGAGAAUGUAACACACGGAUAGCUUAACCAUUUAAUCAUCGAAACAUAACCCACAAAAGAAUGACACGAACCAAAUGAUUCUGCUUAAUUAUGGGCAUAAUCAGACUUUUAAAGGCAAGCCUAGUUGUAGGCCGAAGAGAUGAAAAGUUCAACACCAAAAGACAUCGUUCAAGGAAGAAGAAGAAGAAGAAGAAGAAGAAAAAAGUACACGAAAAUGCUCUAACAUACCACAAACUACAAA